GUGCAAUUUUUGGAUAAUCGCGUAGUAUUCAAAUACUAUGAGGAAAGUCCAUGCUAGCACUGGCUGCGAUGCCGGUAGUGUUUGUGCUAGGCGAAAAAAUAAGCCUAGGGGGGUAGUCUUUUCUGCCCUACGGCGAGUAAAAUGGCUAAGUCGUAAGAUAUGUCAGAAUAACUCUGAAAGUGCCACAGUGACGUAGUUUUUAUGGAAACGUAAAAAAUGGAACGCGGUAAACCCCUCAAGCUAGCAACCCAAACUUUGGUAGGGGCAUGGGAUAGCUGGAAGUGAACGGUCUAUCCUGACUGGAAACAGUAGACAGAUGAUUAUCGAAGGAGAUGGUACCUAGUCAUCUCUGGAACAAAACAUGGCUUAUAGAA
rnacentral:RNase_P_RNA from 1 species